GUGAGGAAUAUUGGUCAAUGGGCGCAAGCCUGAACCAGCCAUCCCGCGUGCAGGAAGACGGCCCUAUGGGUUGUAAACUGCUUUUCCAGGGGGUGAAUUAAUCCGACGUGUCGGGUUUUGACGGUACCCUGGGAAUAAGCAUCGGCUAACUCCGUGCCAGCAGCCGCGGUAAUACGGAGGAUGCGAGCGUUAUCCGGAUUUAUUGGGUUUAAAGGGUGCGUAGGCGGACAAAUAAGUCAGUGGUGAAAACCUGCAGCUUAACUGUAGACUUGCCGUUGAUACUGUUAGUCUUGAGUAUGGUCAAGGUAGGCGGAAUGUGUAAUGUAGCGGUGAAAUGCUUAGAUAUUACACAGAACACCGAUUGCGAAGGCAGCUUGCUGGGCCAUUACUGACGCUGAUGCACGAAAGCGUGGGGAUCGAACAGGAUUAGAUACCCCAGUAGUCC
rnacentral:rRNA from 1 species